rnacentral:lncRNA from 1 species
GAGACUGGUUACUGGAAGACUGAUAGCACUUGAGUGCAAAACAAGGAGAUUCAUUAUGCUAUGAGGGCCAGAGACAGUCAUACUUUACACAGCCAAGACCGUAUCAUACUCUACACAGCCCUCAGCAGCAUCCUAUCACUUCUCCGCUGUCUCUCCUGACCCUGCUGUCACCAUAGACAUGACACCUCUCCUGCUCCUACUGUGUGCCGGUGUUUUCCGCACAGCUGCGCUCAGCCACCUCAGACAGUUCCAUAUCACUCAUGAAGAUUUAUUUUGGACAGCGGCACGGAACUAUUGCCGAAACCACUAUACUGAUCUUAUCACUGUAUACAAUCAGGAGGAAGCUGAGCAGCUGAUAGAGUUAAUGAGAUCUAACGGCAGCACUAUGGCCUGGAUAGGUCUCAAUCGCAAAGAGCACAGACAGAAUUUGUCCAAUGAAAACCUUUUUGAUGAAGCUCCAUUGUCACCACCUACAGGCGAAUACACAAAGCCAAACUGUGCUCCUUUCUUGACCCGCCUGCUGAAUGAUGACUGGGAGUGGUCUGAUGGGGGGAGAUCUGCCUAUAGAAACUGGUCAAUGGACCCAAGAGAUGACCAACCCUAUGUAAAAUUAAUUACACCUGGAAGUCUGAUAGCUCUUGGGAGUGAAAACCAAGGAGAUUCAUUAUGCAAUGACGACUUGGAUGAAGAUCGUCGAGGAAAGAAAGACCUGGGAACAAGCUCUGAACCACUGCAAUAAUAAGUACCGUGGACUGCUGCGUAUUGAAUCUGAAAAGGACCAGAGGGUCGUGGAGCAGAACCUGAGGUGUGCUGGUGUCCCUGGUCCCGUGUGGGUGGGUCUGAGACAGAGUAGUGUCUUUGGGUUUUGGGUCUGGACCAAUGGGCUGCCACUGACAGGGUACUGGAAUAACUGGGAGGGGGACAGACAGCCUGAACAGCCUCUGGCCCACCACUGUGGUGCAAUGGCAACUGUGGCAGGAUACAAGUGGAGUGAUAAGGACUGUCUGUCCAUGUUCUAUUUUAUCUGUGAAAAGUGAUACAUUUCCUUACUGUCUAUCACUACCAUUCUACAUGUUUUGAUUGACAUGUUGAAUUUAGGUAAGUGAUCAUUGAAAUAAUUUCUCCAAUGUUGUUUUACAGCAUGCAAUGUAAUGUACACCUGGUCAUUAUCAAUAUAAUAUAUUAUCAAUAUACAGUAUAUGAGCAAUAUUUGAGUACAAUUGCAUGAUAUUUCUGAUAUUUUAAAUGUUUAGAACAAAAUAUAUAGAUUAUAUGAUGGUGAUUAAAUGAUGAUAGUCCUCAGUCAUUAUAUGUACAGUUGAAGUCAGAAGUUUACAAACACCUUAGUCAAAUACAUUUAAACUCAGUUUUUCACAAUUCCUGACAUUUAAUCCUAGUAAAAAUUCCCUGUAUUUGGUCAGUUAGGAUCACCACUUUGUUGUGGUCAGAAUAAUAGUAGAGAGAAUGAUUUAUUUCAGCUUUUAUUUCUUUCAUCACAUUCCCAGUGGGUCAGAAGUUUACAUACACUCAAUUAGUAUUUGGAAGCAUU